rnacentral:rRNA from 1 species
UACGAAGGGGGCUAGCGUUGCUCGGAAUUACUGGGCGUAAAGCGCACGUAGGCGGCUCUUUAAGUCGGGGGUGAAAUCCUGGAGCUCAACUCCAGAACUGCCUUCGAUACUGUAGAGCUUGAGUUCGGGAGAGGUGAGUGGAACUGCGAGUGUAGAGGUGAAAUUCGUAGAUAUUCGCAAGAACACCAGUGGCGAAGGCGGCUCACUGGCCCGGUACUGACGCUGAGGUGCGAAGGCGUGGGGAGCAAACAGG